rnacentral:rRNA from 1 species
AUGAUCCUGGACGACGAUGUCGACAACCUACUGUUGUUGCAUCUCGUGGACAAAUUUGAGAAGGGACCGAAGAGAAAGCGCUGCGGAUCCAUGGUUGACCGACCAUGCAUUCCCCAUGAUCGAGUUCUCGGUGACAAGAUGCCCAUGAAGGACUACUUCACGAAGGUGUCGACAUAUUCGGCUCACCUAUUCCAUAGGCUAUAUCGGAUGCGUAGCUCCCUUUUCGUACGCAUCGUUGAAGCUUGUGAGCAAAAUUGCCAUUUUUUCACUCGGCGUAGGAACGACGCCAUUUUGGUUGGGUUUAGUGCAUAUCAAAAAAUAUCGACGGUGAUGAGGGUGAUUACAUAUGGUGUUUCCGCCGACUACGCAGAUGAAUAUCUUCGCAUUGGAGAAGAUACCCCCAUCAAAUGCAUUCAGGUCUUUUCGAAGACAAUGACCCGGUUUUUUUGGCUUAUGAGCUCCAAACGAGGAAGACAUAAAGAAGCUCAUGGCGAUGAACAAAGAAAGGGAAUGACCGAGCAUGCUAGGUAG